rnacentral:rRNA from 1 species
UACGGAGGGUGCAAGCGUUAUCCGGAUUCACUGGGGUUAAAGGGUGCGUAGGUGGGCAGGUAAGUCAGUGGUGAAAUCUCCGGGCUUAACCCGGAAACUGCCGUUGAUACUAUUUGUCUUGAAUAUAGUGGAGGUGAGCGGAAUAUGUCAUGUAGCGGUGAAAUGCUUAGAUAUGACAUAGAACACCAAUUGCGAAGGCAGCUCACUACACGAAUAUUGACACUGAGGCACGAAAGCGUGGGGAUCAAACAGG